rnacentral:rRNA from 1 species
CGUAUGCAAUCUACCUUCAACAGGGGGAUAGCCUUUUUAAACAUGAAUUAAUACCCCAUAAAGCAGGGUGCUCGCAUGAGUAAAAUUGCUAAAGGAGAGAUCUGGUUUAAGAUGAGCAUGCGUCCCAUUAGCUAGUUGGUAAGGGAACGGCUUACCAAGGCGACGAUGGGUAGGGGGCCUGAGAGGGUGGUCCCCCACACUGGUACUGAGAUACGGACCAGACUCCUACGGGAGGCAGCAGUAGGGAAUAUUGGACAAUGGGCGGAAGCCUGAUCCAGCCAUGCCGCGUGCAGGAAGAAUGCGUUAUGCGUUGUAAACUGCGUUUGUCAGGGAGGAAAGCCCUUUUGCGAAAGGAGAUGACAGUACCUGAUGAAUAAGCACCGGCUAACUCCGUGCCAGCAGCCGCGGUAAUACGGAGGGUGCAAGCGUUGUCCGGAUUUAUUGGGUUUAAAGGGUGCGUAGGCGGUAUAUAAGUCAGUGGUUAAAGGACAUAGCUUAACUAUGGAAAUGCCAUUGAUACUGUUAAACUAGAGUAUUGUAGAGGUUGGCGGAAUUGGUAGUGUAGCGGUGAAAUGCAUAGAUACUACCAGGAACACCGAUUGCGAAGGCAGCUAACUGGACAAA